AUUUCAAUGUUUUAAUGUUUUUAUUUCUUCAUUUCAAAAGGAUGUAGUUAUUGACUAGCAGUUAUCAAUUAAGGAUGUGGAUCAUACAGGAUAUAGAUAUAGAUGUGGAACCAUCCCUGGAAUACAUCCACAUUUUAAUUGGUCAGCAGUCAUUUUCAGUGUCAGUCAUGUGAUUAAGUGGUACCACUUACAGCCUGUUUUGUGUGUGUUUUAGUAAUUAAGUGAAGUAAAUUACUAUGUUCUUGUGUACUGUUUUUUAAAAUUAUAUUUGACCUGUCAAGUGACACACAGUCCCAGCAUCGAAUAAACCAAAACUCUAAGAAGGCAAAAACAGCAAGUAUAAGCAGACAUUGAAAGAAAAGAUUUCAAUGUUUUAUUUUUGUAUUUCUUAAUUAGUAAGAAUGUAGUAAUCGACCAACAGUCCUCAAUUAUGGAUGAUCAUAUUGGAUAUAGAUACAGAUGUGAUACCACAUCUCUCAUGUACAUCCAUAUUUCUAAAUUGGUCAGCGGUAAUUUUUAGUCAGUCAUGAACUACUUGGUGCCUUUGAUGGUGUGUGCUGGUUUUAUUGCCAUUUGGUCUAUUUACAACAAUAUCUCAAAAUGACUCGUAAACGCAAUACAGAAGAAUCCAAAAUACAUCUGACAGUCCAAAACAGCUGGGAUAAGUGAACCACAAUGACUGGAUACAACCAACUUUCAGAUUCAUCAUCUAACCACCUUGAAAGAAAAUAUUUCAUUGUUUUAUUGUUUGUAUAUCUUUAUUUGUAAGGAUGUAAUCACCGAUGAAGACCUAAAUUAUGGACCAUAUUGAAUAUAGAUAUACUUAGAUGUGGUACCACAUCUCUGAUGUACAUCCAUAUUUCUCAAUUGGUCAGCGGUAAUUUUUAGUCAAUCAUGAACCACUUGGUGCCUUUGAUGGUGGUUUAUGUCAACCGUUGAUUUUUUUUUUUUUAUGUUGAACAGGUAUACAAAUUAAGUAGCUAUUAUGGUUGUAGUGUGCUGUUUUUAUUGCAGUUUGAUCUGUUUACAACAAUAUCUCGAAAUGACACACAAACCCAACACAGAAGAAUCCGAAAACAUCCGACAGACCAAAACAGCUGGGAUAAACAAACCAGAAUGAUCAGAUAUGAUCACCAU